rnacentral:rRNA from 1 species
UGAGGAAUAUUGGUCAAUGGGCGAGAGCCUGAACCAGCCAAGUAGCGUGCAGGAUGACGGCCCUAUGGGUUGUAAACUGCUUUUAUAUGGGAAUAAAGUGAGGGACGUGUCCCUUAUUGCAUGUACCAUACGAAUAAGGACCGGCUAAUUCCGUGCCAGCAGCCGCGGUAAUACGGAAGGUCCAGGCGUUAUCCGGAUUUAUUGGGUUUAAAGGGAGCGUAGGCUGUUUGUUAAGCGUGUUGUGAAAUGUAGGAGCUCAACUUUUAGAUUGCAACGCGAACUGGCAGACUUGAGUGCGCACAACGUAGGCGGAAUUCAUGGUGUAGCGGUGAAAUGCUUAGAUAUCAUGACGAACUCCGAUUGCGAAGGCAGCUUACGGGAGCGCAACUGACGCUAAAGCUCGAAGGUGCGGGUAUCGAACAGG